UACGUAGGGGGCAAGCGUUGUCCGGAUUUAUUGGGCGUAAAGAGCGUGUAGGCAGCCAGAUAGGUCAGCUGUGAAAACUCGAGGCUCAACCUCGAGACGUCGGUUGAAACCAUCUGGCUAGAGUCCGGAAGAGGAGAGUGGAAUUCCCGGUGUAGCGGUGAAAUGCGCAGAUAUCGGGAAGAACACCCGUGGCGAAGGCGGCUCUCUGGGACGGUACUGACGCUGAGACGCGAAAGCGUGGGGAGCGAACAGG
rnacentral:rRNA from 1 species